ensembl:lncRNA
CACAUUUUAAAUGGAAUCAAAUUGAUGUGUCUGGAGCAAUCAAAUGUGGUAUCUACAGUACAUAUAGAUAUAUGGUUGAAAUAAAUAUAGUCUUUACAACAGCUUUUUCUAUAUAUAAUCACAGCCUCAGCACUAACUUAUCACUCAUUGUUAGCCCUUCAUAAUUUACAGUCCCUGUUGAAAUUAAAUAUGGAUUCUCAGUAUGUCAAUGAUUUGUCGUCUUUGCAGUCUACACUGGUGAAGCAGGUUCUAUCUCUCUGUUAAGGCUUGCGUCUGAUUAGUCUCUCUGCUUCGCCAGUAGCGCAGCACUCUGAGCCAGAUGCCUUAUUUUGCCAUUCCCUUUCAUGCCUGUGGAAUAAACUUAUCACUUUAAUGCACUUUUCCAGAUAUCAUGUUGAUUCGCAUCCCCUCUGGCUUGUCAGGAAACUUCAGCACAAGAUGAAAAGGAAAGAGUAUACACUUUUAAAUAUGCACUCUGCUCGAAUUCGACUCAGACUAAUGGCAGAAAGUUCAGCAAAAGCUAGAUGCAAUGUUAUGGAGAUCUGAUCCGCUCCUUUGGUGAGGUCAUUCAAGUAGCUGGCUCAAGCAUAGAGCAAACAAUGACAUCAGACUCAAACAAACGUCAAGCCUGAUAGACACUGUCGAAAGAUGUUUCCAUGGGAAUGGCUCCAUUUCAGGGCUGUACUGUCAUGUGCUGACACAUUUUCAGGGAAAUGAAUGAGGAUUGCUGCAUAUCUGGCAGUUCUAUUCCUGACACUAAGUAGACUGCCAACUUCGUCCCAUGGGAGUAAGGACGGGUUGCCAGGUUCGGGUCAAAGAAGACGACACUUCCUAUUAAUUCAUCCAUCAGGUCUGCCAGGAUCAUAAUGACUGGUGACAGCUUAAGACUACUGUCUGACGUCUUCAUUAGACCCAUGUGUGCAGGAUGAAUAAAUGAAUAAAUGAUGACAGAAUUUUAAAUUCUGGGUAACUAUCUCUUAAAAAAAAAGUAUAAAGAGAGAAAUAGGCUGCAGGAGAAGAAAAACACAAGAAGGGGAAGGUGAAACACACUGCACAAAGACUAUGAGAGGAAGAAAAGUGGGUGAAACGAAGGGGCGUGAGAGAACGAGCGACUGAAAGACGGGGUGAGUGCACGAGAACAAGAACCACCACAUCCGUCUGUUCGGGGGUGCUUUAAAUUCACGGCAUUCACUAAAUUCAGCAGAAUCAUCAGACUGGAGUGGAUGGGACCUGAAGGACAUUGACGUCCCCUCUCAACUCAACCGCACUCCAUCCACAUCCUACAUCUGUCUAUUCAACACCAUCAUCAAGCACAGGGAAUCAAUGACACCAAUGAUAGCACAGUCCAGCAUCACCCCGCCAAAGGACAGCGGGGAGAUUGCUUCUCUCCCUCUCAGCGGUACAAAAGCAGCUUUGAGUGAAGUAUUCUUCAGCGGAAUGCAGAACCCCACUGAGAGAGCCUCUCUGAAAUGAUAUCUAUAUCGCGGGCCGGAGUUGAACAUAGAUUUUUUGAAUACAUUUAUGAAGCUGCUCCCCAAGAGGUCAGUGGGUGGAGGACAGUCUCAUCUUAAGCAAAAAGUUCCGCUUUUCAUAUGGACAAGAUGGUGGCGAGCCAAAAAUGCAAUGGAAAAGAAACUAAUUAACAGGAUGCAUCCGGUUGUUGAAUCCGAAAAUGGCAGGAGUAGGAGGAGACGGAAAGGAAAUCUCUAAAUUUAGUGCUGCUUUACUGCAAUAAUACAAGAUUAAAUGCAUAACUCUUCUGAAAAUGUUAUAACGGAUGCCAGCCACCAGUGAUGGUAGUCAUAAUUCUGGCCCUGUUAAAGAGAUGAGAAUUAUUUUAGUACUGCCUCAUCCCUGCCCAAUUGGCACCUGUGCCCGCAUAUUUUUACAGUCCCAUGGUUGCCGCAUGGCCAAGUUUCUCUGUGAGCUUAUGAAAAUAGCAGGUACUUUGAAUAUAUUAUCAAAC